rnacentral:rRNA from 1 species
AGUGAACGCUGGCGGUAGGCCUAACACAUGCAAGUCGAACGGCAGCACAGGAGAGCUUGCUCUCUGGGUGGCGAGUGGCGGACGGGUGGGGAAUACAUCGGAAUCUACUCUGUCGUGGGGGAUAACGUAGGGAAACUUACGCUAAUACCGCAUACGACCUACGGGUGAAAGCAGGGGACCUUCGGGCCUUGCGCGAUUGAAUGAGCCGAUGUCGGAUUAGCUAGUUGGCGGGGUAAAGGCCCACCAAGGCGACGAUCCGUAGCUGGUCUGAGAGGCUGAUCAGCCACACUGGAACUGAGACACGGUCCAGACUCCGACGGGAGGCAGCAGUGGGGAAUAUUGGACAAUGGGCGCAAGCCUGAUCCAGCAAUACCGCGUGGGUGAAGAAGGCCUUCGGGUUGUAAAGCCCUUUUGUUGGGAAAGAAAUCCAGCUGGCUAAUACCCGGUUGGGAUGACGGUACCCAAAGAAUAAGCACCGGCUAACUUCGUGCCAGCCGCCGCGGUAA